rnacentral:misc_RNA from 1 species
AACGCACGAGACCUGCGGACCUGCGGAAGGAUCAUUACCGAGGAUGGGGGUAUGUGGGGCGGCGAGGCCGGAGGGCGAUGCCGAAAGGCGAUGCCGGAGGGCGCAGCCAGCCACGUACACACUCGUGCUUGCUGGGGAGGCGUGGCUGGGAGUGGGGGAUUCUGGCGGCUCACGUGGCAGCACUGCCUGUGGGACACGGGAGUCUUUCUCUGCUCGCCACGCACACCCAGGUGCACAUCA